CCAGAAUGCCUGGCGAGGCGCGCACCACGCGGCCCCUUCCUCCAGGCAUUCGCACCACCCCCCACUCCCGUUGCAUGCUGGGAUUGUAGUUGAUCGCCUGCGAUCAACGGCCGGAAGCGGCUAAAACUACUCCUGCCUGCAUACCCCGCAGGAGCAAACCGCGCCAUGUCUCCCUCCAGGGAUCCGCACCGCUCACAAUCCUGUUUAGUGCUGGGAUUGUAGUCCUGCGAGCCUACGACUAAUAGCUGGGUGCGGAUAAGAGACUACAGCUCCCCCCAUUCCCAGCAAAGGUCCCUCCUCCACCGAGCUCCUCCAGGCUUCCAGUGCAGUUCCGCCGUGCGGAGGGAAGCUUGGCUGUUCACAAACCUCUCCUGCCCGCGAGGAGACAGCUUGGCCAGGGCGGCUGAUCUCACCUUGUCAUUGUGACACGGUGUCUCCCCAACGUGCUGGCUUCAUGACUUGUGCCCAGAGUUUGAUUUUCCACAGACCAGGUAGAGGCCAAGAGCCUCUCACAGACUCUGCAGCAGGGUUGCUAUGGUAACGCUUGCGCCCCCGCCCCCCCCAGCAGCCGGCUCGACACCGCCCUUUCCCUCUGAAGGGCCACUCGUUUUAGCCACGUCCUCUUAUUGUCCCUCCCCUGGCCACACCCCUUCAGACAUGCGUAGUGCUCCCCUUGGUCCAGCGCGGGAAGCUCCCUCGUGAGUGUCCGAAACUAUUAGCUCACUCACUGCCUCAUGUGAAGAUUAACUCUUAAGUACUCCACAACUACACGCUUUUGAAACUGGCGUUGGCAUAGCGUUAGUUCUGUGCAGGGCGGACGCAGCAGGACAGAAUCUCCCUGGGCAUCUUUUCGGAGCAUCAAUUUUACUGCAAAAUUUUGAAAAAACAAAUUUAAUUGAUUUCCAAGGUUUGUCAAGGAGGACAGAAACUCAGAGCACCCUGCACUUGGGGAUCGGCACUAGGAGCUGCUCUCUGGAUGGGGAGAUGGGAGCUAGCAGCUCACAAUGGGGUCACAAGAUGCAUGGUGAAUAUUUGAUGUUUUAGAACAAAAAUGUAUUUACAAAUCUCAUUUGAUGCAGACAUCUGAAAAUACUCAGAAGUUACAAGAAUUCAUAAAAUACCCACCAAAGCUAAUAGAAAACAUGGAACCUUCCAGGACAAGAAGUAAAUUAAAAGAACAACCCAGAGGAGUAAUCAAAGUGAGAAGCCAGUGCCGCCUCCAGAAUAUUGGUUCUUCUUUUAUCUGAAGUGAGGAGCACCAGAGGACUGAUCACGGCAUAGACAUUGACUACAAGACUCUGAACUUGCUGGUUG
rnacentral:lncRNA from 1 species